UGGAAAGAGCCCAGGUGUCCUGUCCAUGGGGGCCCAGUGUGCCAUGGCUGCAAACAGUAGCCUCCUUGGUAGUGUAUGCAGCCUGUUGAUUGUAUGGGUUGCCCUAAGGGACCUUGGAGACAGCC
rnacentral:snoRNA from 1 species